CUACGGGACGCACCAGUGGGGAAUAUUGGACAAUGGGGGGAACCCUGAUCCAGCCAUGCCGCGUGUGUGAAGAAGGCCUUUUGGUUGUAAAGCACUUUAAGCGAGGAGGAGGCUACCGAGAUUAAUACUCUUGGAUAGUGGACGUUACUCGCAGAAUAAGCACCGGCUAACUCUGUGCCAGCAGACGCGGUAAUACAGAGGGUGCAAGCGUUAAUCGGAUUUACUGGGCGUAAAGCGCGCGUAGGUGGCCAAUUAAGGCAAAUGUGAAAUCCCCGAGCUUAACUUGGGAAUUGCAUUCGAUACUGGUUGGCUAGAGUAUGGGAGAGGAUGGUAGAAUUCCAGGUGUAGCGGUGAAAUGCGUAGAGAUCUGGAGGAAUACCGAUGGCGAAGGCAGCCAUCUGGCCUAAUACUGACACUGAGGUGCGAAAGCAUGGGGAGCAAACAGGAUUAGAUACCCCAGUAGUC
rnacentral:rRNA from 1 species